UGCCAGCGGUCCGGCCGGGAACUCAAAGGAGACUGCCAGUGAUAAACUGGAGGAAGGUGGGGAUGACGUCAAGUCAUCAUGGCCCUUACGACCAGGGCUACACACGUGCUACAAUGGCGCAUACAAAGAGAAGCGACCUCGCGAGAGCAAGCGGACCUCAUAAAGUGCGUCGUAGUCCGGAUUGGAGUCUGCAACUCGACUCCAUGAAGUCGGAAUCGCUAGUAAUCGUGGAUCAGAAUGCCACGGUGAAUACGUUCCCGGGCCUUGUACACACCGCCCGUCACACCAUGGGAGUGGGUUGCAAAAGAAGUAGGUAGCUUAACCUUCGGGAGGGCGCUUACCACUUUGUGAUUCAUGACUGGGGUGAAGUCGUAACAAGGUAACCGUAGGGGAACCUGCGGUUGGAUCACCUCCUUACCUUAAAGAAGC
rnacentral:rRNA from 1 species